GAGCAAUUUUAAAGUAUUUCCACUACUUUCACAAGAACUUUGCACACGUAAGGACAUAGCCAAAGUAAGUUAGACACCACUUACAGACAGAUUACUGCUGUCAAAAUCAUAUGGCUUGCUACGCGAGUACAUACAUACAUACAUAUGUAUAGUAAAUGUAUAUACCAUUUAUAAGUAGAUAAAAGUAAGGAGAGCGCAAAUCUCUUCGACAACUUAUCAAAUGAUUGCUCGCUGUGAGCGCACACAAACGAACGAAUUGAAGAGAAACAUUGCAGGUUUACCAAAACUAUUUUAAUUUGCUAUAUGUGAGUUAGUAAUUUCAAUGAUUUGGAUAGCCGUAAAAUCGGAAUAAAUGUUGUUGUAGACGGACUUUUGACAAGUCCAUGAAUGCUCAACGAUUGGUGGUGUAAAUGGAUAAAGGAUUACUUGCUUAUCCAUUGUAGCCACACUCACUCCGCAGCCAACGGGGAUUAAAAAAUCGCAAUGGCAUUGUAAAUUAUUUUCGAAAAUGGCUAUAUUAAAUAUCUCUGUCCGUUAAGGCACUGGAAAAAUAUAUUUUACUUGUUAUCAAUGCUUUCAGCUUCAGUUAUAAUGUACAUAAAUGUUAGUUGCACAAGUUUUUUAAUCUCUCUUCAUAUGAGGAUUAUCUAUUUCAAGUGCUUUAGAUAGAUGGUUCUUUCAAAGCAGUAGCUUGAAUCCAUGUGGUAUACCUGCUCUGCUGACACUGGCUCAUCAGUGAUCGCAGCGAAAAUUUCGAAACACUGUGCUCGCACUUUAGUAUAAAUUGAGCUGUUGAAUUUCACAACAGCACAAUCGUCAAAGUAUCGUAGACCACUCAACAUCUUUAGCGGAUGUAUAACGUCGAAUUUUGCUAAACGAAAAAGUGAGAAGUUCGCUAUUAUAAAAUUAUGACUGAAGUUACGGAAAUUGAGUUAUUAAAAAACAAAGAAAACGAAAUUAAAGCGACCACCACCAUAAUGCCUAGUAAUGUUGAAAUCAUCGGUUGUCCAAAACCAGGUGGAGCUCUGCAACGUCUGGCCGAUCUCGCUGCAGCCAUCGCAGCGGAAGACCGGAGCGCAAAUAGCGAUAGCAAUUAUGACGACGAGAGCGACACAGAAUCGGAUGACAGUGACUACUUUAGUAUCGACAUACCCUUCCGGACCCGUAGGGCAUCCUUGCCAGCUGUCAUUGAAGCUCAAAAAGUAACUGAGGCCGCAACUGCUGCCAUGAGGAAAUUGUGGACUCAACGCAUGGCACGUCGAUCCAUGUAUUUGUAGAGCAUCCCCACUGCUUUUAAAACUUGGAGAGAGGAGUAUAGAUUUUUAAUAAUUAUUAAUUUUUUAUUGAAUUGAA